rnacentral:lncRNA from 1 species
UUUUGUGUCUGGAUUCUCUCUGUUAACACUGUGUCUGUGAGACUCACUCACGCUGUGUGUAGUAUUAUGCUUCAUCCUUUUUUGUUGUUGCAUAGUAUUCCACUGUAUAAAUAUACCACAAUUUAUUUGUCUGUUUUCCUAUUGCUGUGCAUUUGGAUUGUUUUGUUUUUCACUAUUUUGAAUAAAGCUGCUAUGAACAUCCUUGUGUAUGUCUUGGGUAUACAGAUGGUCCUGGCUUACAAUGAUUGGAUUUAAAAUUGUUUGACUUUAUGAUGGGCUUAUCAGGGUAUUAAAUGUGUUUCUGACUUACAGUAUUUUUGACUUACCACGUGUUUAUUGGGACGUAACCCCUUCCUAAGAUGAAGAGCAUCUGUAUACAUCCAGAAUCCUGUGGAGCAACUCAUAACCCAUGAGGAAUGGAAGCCGACAGACAGACUCAUCCCCAGGACAGGUGGUUCUCACUACAUCUCAUAAAGCUUCUUAGAAGAUCUUACAGGAUUGAGCAACCAGCCAGCCACAGCAGGGGCCAACUGGAUAACACGUCUUUGCAUAGGCUCUCCCUCUGUCCCUGUCACCCUCCCCUUUUCCUAACCUUGUUCCUUGGGAUUAUGUUUUGAAAUAAAUUAUUCAGAGAAAUGAAGCCAAAGCUGACCCAUUAGCCAAUAGCUAGGUUCUGUGAUGACAGAGCUUCUGGGCUAUAAUCGUUUACUGAGAAGCCAGCGUUCCUGAGGGGAUAAUGGCUCGUUCCAUUCAGCUGCAGCAUAGGAGUGAGGGCAGGGCAUUAGCAGAAGAUAACACCAGAAACGUGCUCUGGGGCCUGUUGAUGACUUUCUGUGCCAAGCACAGACAUUUAGCCUUUAUUCUGUAUGUGAUGGGAAGCCAGUGCCAGUGGUGGGUUUGAGCAGGGAACCAGCAACCAGUGGUGGGUUUGAGCAGGGAACCAGCAAUACUCAAGCUCUGCUUGGAUGGAGGCCAGUCAGGGAGGAGUUAGGGCAGGAGGACCAGUCAGGGAGGAGACUUAGGGCAGGAGGACCAGUCAGGGAGGAGACUUAGGGCAGGAGGACCGGUCAGGGAGGAGACUUAGGGCAGGAGUACUGGUCAGGGAGGAGACUUAGGGCAGGAGGACCGGUCAGGGAGGAGACUUAGGGCAGGAGGACCGGUCAGGGAGGAGACUUAGGGCAGGAGGACCGGUCAGGGAGGAGUUAGGGCUGGAGGACGGGUCAGGGAGGAGACUUAGGGCAGGAGGACCGGUCAGGGAGGAGUUAGGGCUGGAGGACCGGUCAGGGAGGAGUUAGGGCAGGAGGACUGGUCAGGGAGGAGACUUAGGGCAGGAGGACCGGUCAGGGAGGAGACUUAGGGCAGGAGGACCGGUCAGGGAGGAGACUUAGGGCAGGAGGACUGGUCAGGGAGGAGACUUAGGGCAGGAGGACAGGUCAGGGAGGAGUUAGGGCUGGAGGACGGGUCAGGGAGGAGUUAGGGCUGGAGGACCGGUCAGGGAGGAGUUAGGGCAGGAGGACAGGUCAGGGAGGAGUUAGGGGAGGAGGACCGGUCAGGGAGGAGUUAGGGCAGGGGGAUUGGUCAGGGAGGAGUUAGGGCAGGGGGAUUGGUCAGGGAGGAGUUAGGGCAGGAGGACCGGUCAGGGAGGAGUUAGGGCAGGAGGACCGGUCAGGGAGGAGACUUAGGGCAGGAGGACUGGUCAGGGAGGAGUUAGGGCAGGAGGACCGGUCAGGGAGGAGUUAGGGCAGGAGGACCGGUCAGGGAGGAGACUUAGGGCAGGGGGAUUCGUCAGGGAGGAGUUAGGGCAGGAGGACCGGUCAGGGAGGAGUUAGGGCAGGAGGACUGGUCAGGGAGGAGUUAGGGUCAGGGAGGAGUUAGGGCAGGAGGACGGGUCAGGGAGGAGUUAGGGGAGGAGGACUGGUCAGGGAGGAGUUAGGGCUGGAGGACCGGUCAGGGAGGAGUUAGGGCAGGAGGACCGGUCAGGGAGGAGUUAGGGCUGGAGGACCGGUCAGGGAGGAGUUAGGGCAGGAGGACCGGUCAGGGAGGAGUUAGGGCAGGAGGACCGGUCAGGGAGGAGACUUAGGGCAGGAGGACUGGUCAGGGAGGAGUUAGGGCUGGAGGACCGGUCAGGGAGGAGUUAGGGCAGGAGGACUGGUCAGGGAGGAGUUAGGGUCAGGGAGGAGUUAGGGCAGGAGGAUCGGUCAGGGAGGAGUUAGGGCAGGAGGACCGGUCAGGGAGGAGUUAGGGCAGGAGGACCGGUCAGGGAGGAGUUAGGGCAGGAGGACAGGUCAGGGAGGAGACUUAGGGCUGGAGGACUGGUCAGGGAGGAGUUAGGGCAGGAGGACCAGUUAGGAGGCAGUGACUUAGGACUUCAGCAGUGGCACUAGAAAGGGGAUGGAUAUGAACGACAUUGCAAAGUAAAACUAGAGAGACGGCCGGGCACAGUGGCUCACUCCUG